rnacentral:tRNA from 1 species
UGUGUUCUAGUGUAACACCUGCACGUAGAGCUUUGACCUCUAAAGAGGGAUACUCCCCGAUCACA